ACGGGAGGCAGCAGUCGGGAAUAUUGCGCAAUGGAGGAAACUCUGACGCAGUGACGCCGCGUGCAGGAAGAAGGUUUUCGGAUUGUAAACUGCUUUAGACAGGGAAGAAGAAGUGACAGUACCUGUAGAAUAAGCUCCGGCUAACUACGUGCCAGCAGCCGCGGUAAUACGUAGGGAGCAAGCGUUAUCCGGAUUUAUUGGGUGUGAAGGGUGCGUAGACGGGAAAUUAAGUUAGUUGUGAAAUCCCUCGGCUUAACCGAGGAACUGCAACUAAAACUGGUUUUCUUGAGUACUGGAGAGGAAAGUGGAAUUCCUAGUGUAGCGGUGAAAUGCGUAGAUAUUAGGAGGAACACCAGUGGCGAAGGCGACUUUCUGGACAGAAACUGACGUUGAGGCACGAAAGUGUGGGGAGCAAACAGGAUUAGAUACCCUGGUA
rnacentral:rRNA from 1 species